AGAUUGAACGCUGGCGGCAUGCCUAACACAGUGCAAGUCGAGCGGCAGGCGCGGGGGCGACCCCUGGACGGCCGAGCGGCGGACGGGUGAGUAAGGCAUCGGAAUCUGCCCUGAUGUGGGGGAUAACGUAGGGAAACUUACGCUAAUACCGCAUACGACCGAGAGGUGAAAGCGGGGGACCGAAAGGCCUCGCGCAGCAGGAGUCGAGCCGAUGUCCGGAUUAGCUGGUUGGUGGGGUAAAGGCCUACCAAGGCGACGAAUCGGUAGACUGGUCGUGAGAGGAUGAUCAGCCACACUGGGACUGAGACACGGCCCAGACUCCUACGGAGGCAGC
rnacentral:rRNA from 1 species